UAAUUUCCAAGGAAAAAAGUACCAUUUUCUUUAUGAUCGUAUAAACAGAAUCGUAUCUUUGAGAGAAAAUGAAAACGUUUUAAACGAUGGUAGUUUUAUUGGAUUUUUGUUAAGCGUGUGUGUAUAUGUUGCAUUUGCGUUUUAGAAAAAGAAUACAUCACAUCAGUAUCAUUUUUGAACUUUACAAAUGAGUAGCAAAUCACACUGGAUAAAAUUUAGGAAUCACCUUAAAAGAACCUCCUUUGACCUCAGUAGAUAAGAAAUGUAAAUAAAUAAAUAACCACAGAGUAAACACAGACGUAAGCAUAUUUAGCCUAUACUUGUAUAACUGUUCAUGCUGUAUACAUUUCUAAACAUAAACACGUGUAUGUAUUUAUUUAUAUAUUUUGUGUUUAUAUCGCAUGUAUUGCCCAGUAUAAUGCACAUUAUUAAGUUUGUUGGUUAAUCUUGAAGAAUGCGUUAUAGCAAGUUUCCAAAUUGACCACUAGGUGUCAGUGUGUGCGUGAGUGUGUGUGUGUGUGUGUGUGUGUGUGUGUGAGUGUGUGUGUGUGUGUGUGUGAGAGAGAGAGAGAGAAAGUAGGUGGUAAACAGAGAAGCAGUGAGGUGUGUUGGAAAGAGGAAGAAAGGGAGUGCAGGCAAGAAAGACCAGCAGAGCAAGACAGAACAUGAGGGAGAUGAGCUUACGAGUUUGUGGCUUGUUUACAUUUUUUCUGACUCACCCUGAACUUUUCUCCUUUCCCUCCACUCUUUGAAAUAUGACUUGCAGGCUAAACAUAAGAGUUUUCUGUGGCUGAAUUAUUUUAAAUUCUCAAUUCUCGCGCAAGAAUCUGCUCCGCGAUGACCGCGUCUGCAGGGACGGCGGUGUUUGUGCUCUCCUUGAUGUCCAUCCCCAUCUGCUAUUUAUUUAAUUCCCUUAUUUACAGCAACAGUGCUGAAGCUUUCUACUUCGCUGGGUGCACAACAGUCCUCAUCCUGGCCAUUUCAGCCCGUUUUAUGCUCAAGAAGAAGACUCCAGUAGAUCCUCUUUUUUACGUGUAUGCAGUGUAUGCAUUCCUCAGUGUGGUGAAUCUGAUCAUCGGCCUGGAGCAGGACAACAUCAUUGAUGGAUUUGUGACGUUUUACCUCAAAGUGGCAGAUCCACACAUUAAUACAGCACACGGGCACAUGAUCUCCUACUGGGAUGGCUGCUCGCACUAUCUUAUGUAUCUGCUCAUGAUUGCUGCGAUUACUUGGGGGGACAGUUACCGAGCCAUUGGACUCUACUGGGUGGGAUCUUUUCUCAUGCGUGCCAUAGUCUACAUUCUUGGGAAUGCUGUGGGGAAAUAUGGGACCCACGUUGGUCCUCUCUUCCUCCUCUACUUGCUAUAUAUCUCUGUGUCUGUCUGGGCCUGCUUCCGCAUCUUCAGCCAGCCCUCCUCACGGGCUGUUCAGUUGACAAGCACCGAGGAGGCUGAGAGAAAAAGUUUACUCCACAGACCUCUGGACUUACUGUUCAUUAUCUACCUCAUCCCUGCUUUUGCUUUCUGUGUCUUCAGAGGGUUGAUUGUUCUGGACUGUUCCGGCAAAUGGGUUCAAGACUACACACAACAGUAUGAGCCGUACCUGAGAGACCCUUCAGCAUAUCCUAAAGUACAGAUGCUGGUGAGCAUGCUUUAUUCUGGACCAUACUACAUCAUCACUCUCUAUGGGCUGCUGGUCCCAGGAUGUGAGUGGAUGCCAGACCUGACUCUUGUGCACUCAGGAGCACUGGCACAGAUGGAAACUAUGAAGAACGGUGGGAGCAGCUAGUGCACCAAUCACCUCCCAACAAUACAAAGCAGCUAUUGUGUCUGAGCUGCAGGCUGGCACGUCGCUCAGCCGUGGGAUAAGGGCAGAAGCUGACUUCAGACCAAAAGGAAUGGAGGCCCAGUUCUCUCAUAUCGGUGCGUCUCUUCACACACGGACUCCGUUCUCCUACAGAGUGCCUGCGGACAGCCAGCCUCUCUUCUUGCUGGUCAAUGUCCUGUAUGCCGUGGUGCCCCAGGCUCUGUGCUACCGCUG